rnacentral:rRNA from 1 species
CCCCUAGACGUUCUAGGCCGCACGCGUUCUACAAUGACGUAUUCAACGAGUUUCUUCCUGGCCUGGAAAGGUUCGGGUAAUCUUCAUAGGAUACAGUCGUGCUUUGGGAUUGUCCUUUGCAAUUAUAGGACAUAAACUAGGAAUACCUAGUAUAGGUGCGUCAUCAGCGCACCUAGAUUAAGUCCCUGCCCUUUGUACACACCGCCCGUCGCUCCUACCGAUUUUGAGUGAUUAGGUGAACCUUCUGGAUCAGCGGACUCUUCAAGGCUCUGCUGAGAAGUUAAGUAAAUCAUUAUCACUUAGAGGAAGGAGAAGUCGUAACA